AUAACAGGAUCUUGUUCGAAGGCAGUGUGCAAAAUAAAUGAAAAAUGCAUCCCAAAAUCCCUUGGAAAUUAUGAAUGUAUACUAUCAGACUGUGGAAUGCCUCCGGUUGUAAAAGGCGCUGACUCGAAUAGUUUGGAAAGAUGGGACGCAAUAGGAAUCUACCGACGGAUACAUCUAUAGUGUCACAAGUAUAUUUUCAAGAAAAAAGGUUCAGGAAUGCUCGGAUGUUCUUCAAAUGUUGAAUGGACAAUAAAUCUGAGUUGUGAAUUUCAAGAAGUAUGGAUACCCUUUAAAGGC